AGGCAUACGAGUUUUGUUAGUGGUACACUAAAAAAUGGAAGUGCAUUUGAUGAUAGACCAGUUACAUUCAGAGGGAGGGAUCCAAAUGUAUUGAAAUUUAAUCUAUUUCCUCAAAUAUACCAUAAUCUGCAUGGUCUAAGGCUCAUCCAACCUCUAUUUCAUGAGUUUGUUCCGGGUUCAUUUUCUCGUGAUGCAACACAUCUCCAAGCCUCCCUUCAAACUUCCACUGAUGGACUAAUCAACACCACGCUGUACGUCAACUACCUCUCUGCCUAUCUUGUUGAGAUUGAACA
rnacentral:misc_RNA from 1 species